ACCCUAUAGAAAACAUAUCUCCAAAAAAAAAAACAUCCCAAAUCGAAGAAAGAGAUUUGGGAUUUCGUGUGAAGCUCGUCGCCGACCUCCACCGUGAAGCUCGUUGCCGGCCUCCACCGUAAAGCUCGUCGCCGGCCUCCACCCUAAUUUCUAUAUAUCUUCUCCAUCCUCUUUCUCUCCUUUACCUCUUCGCUUUCUUCCUCGAUUCUUCUUUUCUUCCUAGAUUAUUCCCUUCUCCUUAGCUCUCCUUUACCUCUUCACUCUCUUCAUACGAUUAUACAGCUCUGGAUAUAUUGGAUUUUGAUUUCGUUGGCCUGAAACCCCAAACCAGUUUCGACGCUCGGUGCUUCACCAUUCAAUUAAGUGUUCGACGAAUUGCCUCAUUAUUGGCUUGCUUGUUUCUUAACAUUAUUUGUCGUUCUGUGCUUAAGAUUCUACCUUUGAGGUCAUUAACAGGUAGAACAGUAGAGAAGAGGUCUGGUUUUUCUUUGGAAGGUCCUUAAGAUUUUAAUUAGUUGGUCUCGAGGAAACAUUAUUGCAAUCUCCACAAUUGUCCACCGUUGAGAAAAUCAGAGAUUGAGUACUACGCAAUGCUUGCUAAAGUUGGUGUUCACCAUUACAAUGGAAGUAAGUUCGUUUCUUCUUUAGCCCAUGUAGUUUUUAAGCUUCAUUGUCCCCUUCUUUGUAUUUAGGUUCCAUUGGGUAUAAUAACUGAGAAUGUAUUAUCCUAAGUAGAUGAAAGUGUAAUAAUCUGCUUAUAUGGACCAUUAAGCUGAUUAUGAAAGUAUGAUUCUAAGUAGAGUAGACUGUUAUGUUUAAUUGACAUAAAGUGUUGAUCUUUCGCAAGAUCAGGAAC